UACGAAGGGGGCUAGCGUUGUUCGGAUUCACUGGGCGUAAAGGGUGCGUAGGUGGCAGGGUAAGUCGGAUGUGAAAUCUCCGAGCUCAACUCGGAAACUGCAUUGGAAACUACCCAGCUUGAGGGAUGGAGGGGGGACUGGAAUACUUGGUGUAGCAGUGAAAUGCGUAGAUAUCAAGUGGAACACCAGUGGCGAAGGCGAGUCCCUGGACAUCUCCUGACACUGAGGCACGAAAGCUAGGGGAGCAAACGGG
rnacentral:rRNA from 1 species